CCUACGGGAGGCAGCAGUGGGGAAUAUUGGGCAAUGGAGGCAACUCUGACCCAGCAACGCCGCGUGAAUGAUGAAGGUCUUCGGAUUGUAAAGUUCUGUGAUGGGGGAUGAACACAAUGACGGUACCCCAAUAGCAAGCCACGGCUAACCACGUGCCAGCAGCCGCGGUAAUACGUAGGGGUCAAGCGUUAUCCGGAAGGACUGGGCGUAAAGGGAGCGUAGACGGCAGCACAAGUCUGAAGUGAAAUGCCGGGGCUUAACCCCGGAACUGCUUUGGAAACUGGGCGGCUAGAGUGCAGGAGAGGUAAGUGGAAUUCCUAGUGUAGCGGUGAAAUGCGUAGAUAUUAGGAGGAACACCAGUGGCGAAGGCGGCUUACUGGACAUUAACUGACGCUGAGGCGCGAAAGCGUGGGGAGCAAACAGGAUUAGAUACCCGAGUAGUC
rnacentral:rRNA from 1 species